CGCGUAGGUGGUUCAGCAAGUUGGAGGUGAAAUCCCCGGGCUCAACCUGGGAACUGCCUCCAAAACUACUGAGCUAGAGUACGGUAGAGGGUAGUGGAAUUUCCUGUGUAGCGGUGAAAUGCGUAGAUAUAGGAAGGAACACCAGUGGCGAAGGCGACUACCUGGACUGAUACUGACACUGAGGUGCGAAAGCGUGGGAGCAAACA
rnacentral:rRNA from 1 species